rnacentral:rRNA from 1 species
UACGUAGGGGGCUAGCGUUGUCCGGAAUUACUGGGCGUAAAGCGUGCGCAGGCGGUGAUGUAAGACAGAUGUGAAAUCCCCGGGCUCAACCUGGGAACUGCAUUCGAGACUGCAUUGCUAGAGUAUGGGAGAGGGAAGUGGAAUUUCAGGUGUAGCGGUGAAAUGCGUAGAUAUCUGAAGGAACAUCAGUGGCGAAAGCGACUUCCUGGACCAAUACUGACGCUCAUGUGCGAAAGCGUGGGGAGCAAACAGG